rnacentral:rRNA from 1 species
ACUCCUACGGGAGGCAGCAGUGGGGAAUAUUGCACAAUGGGCGCAAGCCUGAUGCAGCCAUGCCGCGUGUAUGAAGAAGGCCUUCGGGUUGUAAAGUACUUUCAGCGGGGAGGAAGGCGAUAAGGUUAAUAACCUUGUCGAUUGACGUUACCCGCAGAAGAAGCACCGGCUAACUCCGUGCCAGCAGCCGCGGUAAUACGGAGGGUGCAAGCGUUAAUCGGAAUUACUGGGCGUAAAGCGCACGCAGGCGGUCUGUCAAGUCGGAUGUGAAAUCCCCGGGCUCAACCUGGGAACUGCAUUCGAAACUGGCAGGCUAGAGUCUUGUAGAGGGGGGUAGAAUUCCAGGUGUAGCGGUGAAAUGCGUAGAGAUCUGGAGGAAUACCGGUGGCGAAGGCGGCCCCCUGGACAAAGACUGACGCUCAGGUGCGAAAGCGUGGGGAGCAAACAGGAUUAGAAACCCUUGUAGUCCCA